rnacentral:rRNA from 1 species
CCUACGGGAGGCAGCAGUAGGGAAUCUUCCGCAAUGGACGAAAGUCUGACGGAGCAACGCCGCGUGAGUGAUGAAGGCUUUCGGGUCGUAAAACUCUGUUGUUAGGGAAGAACAAGUGCUAGUUGAAUAAGCUGGCACCUUGACGGUACCUAACCAGAAAGCCACGGCUAACUACGUGCCAGCAGCCGCGGUAAUACGUAGGUGGCAAGCGUUAUCCGGAAUUAUUGGGCGUAAAGCGCGCGCAGGUGGUUUCUUAAGUCUGAUGUGAAAGCCCACGGCUCAACCGUGGAGGGUCAUUGGAAACUGGGAGACUUGAGUGCAGAAGAGGAAAGUGGAAUUCCAUGUGUAGCGGUGAAAUGCGUAGAGAUAUGGAGGAACACCAGUGGCGAAGGCGACUUCUGGUCUGUAACUGACACUGAGCGCGAAGGCGUGGGGAGCAAACAGGAUUAGAUACCCUGGUAGUC